rnacentral:lncRNA from 1 species
GGAUUUAUUAUUCUGUGAUGAUUUUCGAUUCGUCGACUCUGGGUUCAUCUUCAAUUUUCUGAAAAGGAUUACUACCCGCGUUCGAUAUUCGCCAAGAGAGUCUCUUAGGUGCUCCGACAAAUCAACGGAGGAAACUUCAAGACAACAACAACAACAUGGCGAACUAACAGCAGAAUCAAUUAGGGUAUUGUAAAUUUCACGGAUUUACGGACAUUUCAAGCAGUAAGAUGAGAAACUGCUUCUCAGUUAUACACAUUUAAGUUCUGUACAUGGAAUACAGCACCAAAGAACUUCGAACUGAUGGAAGUUGCUGAAUUUGAAGCGGACAUUGACAUAAUUUGCUGCGGAUGAGACUGGGUGGGGUUUGAUUCAGUGAAUGUCACAACACUGCCAUUGCCGAUUGAUGGGACAACCUCGUCAAUAGCAUAUGUAUGUGAGGGCAGGCAAGCGACAGAUUCAUUUGAACUAGAAGCUGACAGCAGCUAAAAUUGGUGUUGUGCGUGGUGCCAGAUAAAAUGGAUCUUCUUCAUCAGAGUAUCCAGAUGGGCGUUUUGCAGCAUAAAGUUUAUACAUUGCCACCGGGUCCCUGUCGCAGGAAGUUGCGAACAUUUUUGGUGUAACUUUGCGGACGUCUGUCAAGUUCUCACCGGAUGAUCUGAGAUCUCGGUAGAGGCAGCAUCGGUAGAACCUUCAACUAGCACUUCAUUCAUACCAGCUGUAUCACCUGAUUUUAUUUCUGGAAUGUCAGGAUCAACUGGAUUGAGUAUGUUGUUUUCCCAGUCAUCGUCUAACAGACUAGGGUGGAAUCCAAAUAUUUGGAAGAAAUUUUCCACAGAGAUUUCUUGAACAGUUUCAGUGUCAUCCACAUUAAUACUCAUCAAUAAUCAUGAGGAACAAUUCCCUCCCAUAUAACUUCAAAAGUGCCAGGGCUAAUGUUAUCCGACAUUUUGACAGCUGUCAGCUCUGACAGUUUAACAGCAGACACCAAAAUAUUCACUGUUGUACAGUAUUUAUUUAAAGAAAUGAAGAAGCACUUUGAAUGAUUUUAUUUGAAUGAAUAAUAAAAUAAGAAACAACAAGUUAUUUUUACACCAGUUUUCUUCUUUUUUUUUUGUUUGUAUUGAAUAUCUCCCGUUUUUAUCCACUAGUUUACAGUAUCGAUCGGUAACCCGGAAAUUAGGUCGAAAGUAGUCCGUCACUUGUAUUGAGUGUGUAGAUUUCUAGUGACUGUAUAAAGCUCAAGUUUACACUGCAGGCUGAUCUCGGCCUGAUAAAUGCAUAGUGGUAGGAUAAAUAUAUAUAAUAUUGCUAUAGGAUAAAGUUAUACAGAAUCUAACCAUUUUUACUUUUAAUUAAAUUUCAGUUAUUAGCUAUUGUAAGAGCCAUUUUUAAGUGUUACAAAACGUCAAGAUGAUACGCCUUGCGUCAUUAAUUACAACUUUACUAUGCUCUAUUUUCAUUUGUUAUCAUGUUAAAUUCGUUCAAGAAGUUCUACUUGAACAUAUAUAUACUGUAAUUAAUGUGUGCAGAGAUCAAGAGCAGACGCACUGGUCCAGUGGUUACACUGUCUGUCAACGAAACCAGGGAUCGUGAGUUCGAGCACCCGCCCCUUCACGUUAAAUUAUUAACAUUCUGAUAAGAGUUCCGUGUUUGGGGGUUUUACACUCAUCGCACUAAAGACCAGGGUAGCUUCUGGAAUUGUACUUUCUUCUGUAUCUUCAAAUUCUUCCAGUAGCAUUACUUACAGUCUUCUGGAGGAUUCGCCCAUAUGGGUUCUCAGUGUCGACUAUAAAUAUAAUUAUGACAAUGUAUCGGUCAGUUUGAUACUUCAACUCCAAGGCCAAUGAAACAAGGCUGAACCUUGACCAUUAAAUCAGGACCAAAAAGUGAA